rnacentral:rRNA from 5 species
CGCCCGGUUACAUUUCGAACCCGGAAGCUAAGCCUUACAGCGCCGAUGGUACUGCAGGGGGGACCCUGUGGGAGAGUAGGACGCCGCCGAAC